rnacentral:hammerhead_ribozyme from 1 species
AUCCACCUGACGAGUCCCAAACAGGACGAAAUGCGCAUCCUGGUGAAU